AAGACUAUAGACCUGCGGAGUACCUGCGGAGGGAUCAUUACUGUGAUUUACUACUACACUGCGUGAGCGGAACGAAAACAACAACACCUAAAAUGUGGAAUAUAGCAUAUAGUCGACAAGAGAAAUCUACGAAAAAACAAACAAAACUUUCAACAACGGAUCUCU
rnacentral:misc_RNA from 1 species